rnacentral:tRNA from 1 species
GGGCCCUUAGCUCAGCCGGUUAGAGCAGCGCACUCAUAAUGCGCGGGUCGGUGGUUCGAGUCCACCAGGGCCCA